rnacentral:rRNA from 1 species
UACGGAAGGCAGCAGUGGGGAAUAUUGCACAAUGGGCGAAAGCCUGAUGCAGCUAUGCCGCGUGUAUGAAGAAGGCCUUAGGGUUGUAAAGUACUUUCAUCGGGGAGGAAAAACAAAACUAAUAAUUUUAUUUCUUGACGUUACCCGAAAAAGAAGCACCGGCUAACUCCGUGCCAGCAGCCGCGGUAAUACGGAGGGUGCUAGCGUUAAUCAGAAUUACUGGGCGUAAAGAGCACGUAGGUGGUUUUUUUAAAGUCAGAUGUGAAAUCCCUGGGCUUAACCUGGAAUUGCAUUUUGAAACUGAAAUACUAGAGUAUCGUAGAGGGAGGUAGAAUUCUAGGUGUAGCGGUGAAAUGCGUAGAUAUCUGGAGGAAUACCUGUGGCGAAAGCGGCCUCCUAAACGAAUACUGACACUGAGGUGCGAAAGCGUGGGGAGCAAACAGGGAUUAGAUACC